UUAUAACACUAAUGGAGCUAGUCCAAGCUAAGACCCCUA
rnacentral:tRNA from 1 species